CCAAGUUAUGAUGCUAUUCAGGGAGAAAAUGUGACUCCAACGACGUUUUUUAACAUUGCCGACCUUGAGAUUCAAGACAAUUUGGCACGCCUAUGGGUGGAUAUUGGAAUGAGUGAAUAUUUGCUUUUGGAUGUAUUGAUAAAUGCCUUGACACAAAUAAGCUCAGAGUAAGUUUUAGCUUCUCUUGCCUAUUAGAGUUUGUUAUAUAUAUAUAUAUAUAUAUAUAUAUAUAUAUCAUGCAGUAUCAUAAGUUGUCAUUCACUAACAUGCAUAUGAUGCAUCUAAUGAUGAGUAAAAUACUCCAGAUUUUUCUGUAUAUCUUAACACAAUAUGACCAGUCUGACUUCCUCUCA